rnacentral:rRNA from 1 species
CGUGAGCGGCGGACGGGUGAGUAACGCGUGGGUAACCUGCCUCAUACAGGGGGAUAACAGUUGGAAACGGCUGCUAAUACCGCAUAAGCGCACAGUACCGCAUGGUACGGUGUGAAAAACUCCGGUGGUAUGAGAUGGACCCGCGUCUGAUUAGGUAGUUGGUGGGUAACGGCCUACCAAGCCGACGAUCAGUAGCCGACCUGAGAGGGUGACCGGCCACAUUGGGACUGAGACACGGCCCAA